UGAUAAUCUGUGCCGAGACAACCAUCUG
rnacentral:piRNA from 1 species